rnacentral:rRNA from 1 species
AUUGAACGCUGGCGGCAGGCCUAACACAUGCAAGUCGAGCGGAUGAAGGGAGCUUGCUCCUGGAUUCAGCGGCGGACGGGCGAGUAAUGCCUAGGAAUCUGCCUGGUAGUGGGGGAUAACGUCCGGAAACGGGCGCUAAUACCGCAUACGUCCUGAGGGAGAAAGUGGGGGAUCUUCGGACCUCACGCUAUCAGAUGAGCCUAGGUCGGAUUAGCUAGUUGGUGGGGUAAAGGCCUACCAAGGCGACGAUCCGUAACUGGUCUGAGAGGAUGAUCAGUCACCCUGGAACUGAGACACGGUCCAGACUCCUGCGGGAGGCAGCAGUGGGGAAUAUUGGACAAUGGGCGAAAGCCUGAUCCAGCCAUGCCGCGUGUGUGAAGAAGGUCUUCGGAUUGUAAAGCACUUUUAGUUGGGAGGAAGGGCAGUAAGUUAAUACCUUGCUGUUUUGACGUUACCAACAGAAUAAGCACCGGCUAACUUCGUG